UUAUGGCCAUAUCAAGUUGAAACACCGGUUGUCGCACGCUCGUCGAAGUUAAGCAACGUUGAGUCUGGUCAGUACCUAGAUGGGUGACCGCUUGGGAAUACCAUAUGCUGUAAG